rnacentral:snRNA from 1 species
GUGCUCAAUUUGGCAGCACAUGUACUAAAAUUGGAACGAUACAGAAAAGAUUAGCAUGGUCCCUGCACAAGGAUGACAUGCAAAUUCGUGAAGCGUUCCAUAUUUUU